AAUGGCUUAUUAACAGAAAAUAAUUUUUGGGGGGGAGGAUGGGUUGUGGAAGAGAUAAAGAGCACUGCCUUACCUGGUUUUAACAGAUGGUUAUAGAAUACAUAUUUUUGGUUUUAUCUUGCAUUGCAACCUAAGACAACAAGACAAAUUAUUAUGAAGAAAGUCUUGAAACUGAUCCAUCUUGGUUGAGAGAACAACAUUUUUUUACUACACCAUGCAUAGAGACCUCAUAUGAUAUACAGCAUUUCUUCUUGGCUACCUCUGUUUUUAUGUGAAGAUCACUUAAAACACAGACUUUCAGUAGGUAAUACAUUAAAAAUGUAACAGUACAUAGCAGAUCUAUCAUUUUUGCAGAUCUCUUUUCUAUGAUUUGACAUAAAAAUUAUAAUCAUAAAAGCACUAAUAUGUUAUAUACUGCAGGAAAAGGCUUGUAAUUGAAUUUUAAUUUAAAACACUUUGUCAGCUAAAUUUGAAUGUAGCACGUAUGGCCUCCAAUUUAAUUGUAUUCAACCUUUCCUUCAGGUCUGUAAAAUAUAGGAGGGAAAUAGGAGAAGAGGGAAGACAAAGAAUUAAUUCUCCAUCUCUCUCCCUCCCCACCAAGCGAAAGAGAAAGAGGGGAUUUGAAGGGAUGUGAUGUGCUAAAGCAUUAAUUUUUGUCUUGUCAAACUUGAGGUAUCUGGCUGCAGUAUGCAUUAUAGGUAUGCUCAUAGGUAGCUAAUAAAAGAUCUAGCUUUUCUUUAAAGAAUAGCAAAUGGGAGGGGGAACACUUUUCAUUUCAGAGAAAAACCCCAUUCUGUUACUUUGGAUCAGUAGUACCAGGGUUCUCUCUAAUAUGUACUUUACCAUGGAACACUAGAUAAUUGUUGAAGUACUAAUAAAAAGUCAGUUAUUUUUCUCUGUUAAUCACUGUCUAUGUUUUCUUCUGUUGAUUUUCCUGAGUAGUUAACUAGUCCAAGAUUACUUUUGAAAGUUAAGAGAAUCAAGCUACCACCAAACGAUGUUGAGACUGGAGGCUGUAGUGAAUGGAAAUCAUAAUAAAAGAAUAUUUUUUCUUUUUUCUUCUUUAA